UGUACCCAGUGUAGUAUUAUAGUGUAUUAUAUUACAGUUAUGUACCCAGUGUAGUAUUAUAGUGUAUUAUAUUACAGUUAUGUACCCAGUGUAGUAUUAUA